rnacentral:rRNA from 1 species
UAGGGAAUCUUGCACAAUGGGCGCAAGCCUGAUGCAGCGAUGCCGCGUGAGGGAUGAAGGCCUUCGGGUUGUAAACCUCUUUCGACAGGGAAGAAGCCACGGGUCACCGUGGUGACGGUACCUGUAGAAGAAGCCCCGGCUAACUACGUGCCAGCAGCCGCGGUAAAACGUAGGGGGCAAGCGUUGCCCGGAUUCACUGGGCGUAAAGCGGGUGUAGGCGGUCCUUUAAGUCAGAUGUGAAAUCCUGCGGCUCAACCGCGGAACUGCAUCUGAUACUGGAGGACUUGAGGACGGUAGAGGUCGGUGGAAUCCCCUGUGUACCGGUGAAAUGGGCAGAUAUAGGGGGGAACACCAGUGGCGAAGGCGGCCGACUGGGCCGAUCCUGACGCUGAGACCCGAAAGCCAGGGUAGCGAACCGGAUUAGAUACCCGGGUAGUCCUGGCCGUAAACGGUGCGAACUAGGUGUGGGGGGCCUCACGGCCUUCCGUGCCGAAGCUAACGCAUUAAGUUCGCCGCCUGGGGAGUACGGCCGCAAGGCUAA